rnacentral:misc_RNA from 1 species
AAGUCGUAACAAGGUAACCGUAGGUGAACCUGCGGUUGGAUCAUCAAAAUAGAACAAUUUUGAUUGAAAACAACCCAAUUGUGCACUGUCUUGUCUCUGGUGGUUGGAGAGUCAGAUGUCUUGGAUGUCUUGCUCUCUGUCAGCACGAGGGACUUUGUCUCUGUGUGCCGUGGACAUGCCACCAAAUGUGAACCUGUCUUGAACAGAUUCACGCAUAACAUACACAAUGCUUUCAAUUCUAUGUUGUAAACUGAUAUAUUAGUCUGUAUGACUUACAAUCUGUAAACAACUUUUGGCAACGGAUCUCUUGGCUCUCAUAACGAUGAAGAACGCAGC